GUGCCAGCAGCCGCGGUAAUACAGAGGUCCCGAGCGUUGUUCGGAUUCAUUGGGCGUAAAGGGUGCGUAGGCGGCGGGGAAAGUCUGAUGUGAAAUCCUGGGGCUCAACCCUGGAACUGCAUUGGAUACUUCCUUGCUAGAGUACUGGAGAGGAAACUGGAAUUUACGGUGUAGCAGUGAAAUGCGUAGAGAUCGUAAGGAAGACCAGUGGCGAAGGCGAGUUUCUGGACAGUUACUGACGCUGAGGCACGAAGGCCAGGGGAGCAAACGGGAUUAGAUACCCCGGUAGUCC
rnacentral:rRNA from 1 species